CUUUGACAACUCUAGAGAUAGAGUCUUCCCCUUCGGGGGACAAAGUGACAGGUGGUGCAUGGUUGUCGUCAGCUCGUGUCGUGAGAUGUUGGGUUAAGUCCCGCAACGAGCGCAACCCUUAAGCUUAGUUGCCAGCAUUAAGUUGGGCACUCUAAGUUGACUGCCGGUGACAAACCGGAGGAAGGUGGGGAUGACGUCAAAUCAUCAUGCCCCUUAUGAUUUGGGCUACACACGUGCUACAAUGGACAAUACAAAGGGCAGCUAAACCGUGAGGUCAUGCAAAUCCCAUAAAGUUGUUCUCAGUUCGGAUUGUAGUCUGCAACUCGACUACAUGAAGCUGGAAUCGCUAGUAAUCGUAGAUCAGCAUGCUACGGUGAAUACGUUCCCGGGUCUUGUACACACCGCCCGUCACACCACGAGAGUCUGUAACACCCGAAGCCGGUGGAGUAACCAUUUAUGGAGCUAGCCGUCGAAGGUGGGACAAAUGAUUGGGGUGAAGUCGUAACAAGGUAGCCGUAUCGGA
rnacentral:rRNA from 1 species